rnacentral:lncRNA from 1 species
CUAAACCCCCAAAACCCCCUAAAAACCCUAACCCCUAAUAAAAGCAUAAACUCAAGAAAUAAAGUUUACAACUUCGUAAAUAUGAAAUAAUUUAAGUAAAAUACACAUGUGACAGACUAAAAUAAAGUUUACAACUUCGUAAAUAAUCACAAUCCAAGGAGGAAGAAAUAAAUGAUUAUAAGCACCUUAAAAUUGAUGAAGACAAAUUGUUUGAUGCAUCAGCAAUUUGCAUAGAAUGAGAAUUUGUGGACCUUCCUACUUUUCUGGCUUUUUUUAGUGUAUUUACAAUGACAGAUGUUAUGGAAAACGAAUGAAUAAUUCAAUCACGAAUGCAUAACAUAAACAACACAAGUUAAAUGUAAGAAAAAAGGAAUGCAUCACACAAGCUCUCUCAUAUCUUGCGAAUUCUGGAUAGAAGAAACUUGGGCUGUCUUCUCCCACUUUUGUUUCUGAUAGUUAGGAGCCUGACAAUUGAUAUAUACACAUACAAAGUUCAACCAAAAUAAAUAUGUAGCCAAUACAACGUGGAAUAAGCUUCAGUUCAGUCAACAAUAUGCUUCAAAAGUAGGUUAUCAAGACUCACCGAGAUGAACACUCAAAUUGAUUAUAUGGAUCACUAAGAGUGCUACUUGAAGGAGAGGUGGUUCGAUCAGGUCAACCAUUACUAUCUUAGUGAACAGGUAUCACAACAAACAAGAUUAUAAGAAAGUCCAAUAGAAAGAACAAAAAUGCCCAUUUGGAUGGGGGAAUUUGUUACUUAGAAGGAUAACUGUAAGAAUAAAAUGGGUAGCAAAUCGAGAGCACUGAUGUGUACAAAUAUCCUUUACAAAAAAAAGGCAUGAAUAAAAUAUUUUAUCUCUCUCAUCUAUUCUCUUCUCUAUUUGUUCUAUUGUGUUUUUUUGACCACCCCUUCUACUUUAUUACUGUUGCAGGUGAUUAAUCAUAGUCAUCC